rnacentral:rRNA from 1 species
AAAUUGAAGAGUUUGAUCAUGGCUCAGAUUGAACGCUGGCGGCAGGCCUAACACAUGCAAGUCGAACGGUAACAGGAAACAGCUUGCUGUUUCGCUGACGAGUGGCGGACGGGUGAGUAAUGUCUGGGAAACUGCCUGAUGGAGGGGGAUAACUACUGGAAACGGUAGCUAAUACCGCAUAAUGUCGCAAGACUAAAGAGGGGGACCUUCGGGCCUCUUGCCAUCGGAUGUGCCCAGAUGGGAUUAGCUAGUAGGUGGGGUAACGGCUCACCUAGGCGACGAUCCCUAG